UACGUAGGUCCCGAGCGUUGUCCGGAUUUAUUGGGCGUAAAGCGAGCGCAGGUGGUUUAUUAAGUCUGGUGUAAAAGGCAGUGGCUCAACCAUUGUAUGCAUUGGAAACUGGUAGACUUGGGUGCAGGAGAGGAGAGUGGAAUUCCAUGUGUAGCGGUGAAAUGCGUAGAUAUAUGGAGGAACACCGGUGGCGAAAGCGGCUCUCUGGCCUGUAACUGGCACUGAGGCUCGAAAGCGUGGGGAGCAAACAGG
rnacentral:rRNA from 1 species